rnacentral:rRNA from 1 species
GCGCCCAAAGCCAUUAGGUUGAGGGCACGUCUGCCUGGGCGUCA